rnacentral:rRNA from 1 species
UUCCUGGUGGGCAUAGUUGUAGGGUAACACCCGUUCCCAUUCCGAAUACGGAAGUAAAGUCUACAACGCCGAUUGUACUUGUCUGGUAACGGACUGGAAGAGUAGGUACUGCCAGGUUU